CCAGAUCGCGGCCAGCCGCUG
rnacentral:misc_RNA from 1 species